AGCCCCAUCGUUUGGCCUAAACAGCCAAAGAAUAAGCCAAAAUUUGAAUUUUUGAACUUAAUUUUGAAGUUGAUUUUGAAAUGCUUUUAACGUAAUUUUUGUUAAUUUUGGCUUUUAAGUCGCUACGAACAAAUCUACAAAAGUUUUACUUAUAAAUUAAUUUUAAUUUUCUAAUAAGCCAAAUAAGCCAUUUUAGGUAAAAUGGCAACCGAUGGGAGCCUUAGUCAAUUCCAAGCAUAUGUGUAAUUGAAUUAAUAAAAUCUUAUUAACUUUUCUGUGUGUGUGUGUGUGUGUUUUUUUCUAUUAUGCAGAAGGGAAUCUCCAUCGUAACGUAUACAUGCUGCUGCAAGAGUUGGUCAGCUCCUAUAUAUCGGCGUGUCAGAAGCAUCAGCAUUUUAUUUUCAUCCACUAGCUGAUUAUUAAUCAGUAAAUUCAUGGUACCAGUAGCUCAUCACGUUUCACAUAUUACUAAGCAGACUUUAUUCUUCUCUUGGGUAUGAACUGUCCCAGCUCAAACUGAAGCUGAACAUUAACAUCGGAACAAAAGAAUGAAGAACAUUUCCCUAUUCCCUCUCACUACGUCAGGUCAAGGCUAUUGUAACACAAUGUGCUACUACAUCCACAAAAACGUGUUACUGAGGUAAGCAGUAACACAAAAUAUAAGUAGAGGAUACUCUCUUCGUCUCAAAAUAUAAGCAUUUUUAGAUUUUGAUACGGUCUCCGAGAUACUAUUUUAACUAAUAAUAUCUAUAAAAGUAAGAUGUUUUAAAUAAAAAAGUUACAUAUUAUGAUAAUUUAUUCAAUUAUAAAUUUAGUAACAUCAAUUUUACAAGAUUAUUUUUUUUAUUUUUUUACUAUUAAGUUAAAAAUGUUUGAUUUGUCAUUAUACUAAAAAUGCUUAUAUUUUAAUACAGAGAAAGUAUCAACAAAUUGCUCGAGCCAUUGACCAAUGAUUACUCGCCUAUAUAUCCUUUAAUUUCUUUGAUCCAGGGGGAAUUUAACUAUUUACCACUUUUAGGUUUGGCAAUUAUUCAAAUGCCCCUCUUAGGUUUACAGUUAAUAAUAUGCCAUUGGAGAGAGAAGCUUUUCUAAUUUUUUUUGCCACUUUUCACACUGUACACCGCCACAUGGGCUUGCCAGCAUGGAAUUGCACGUGAAAUAACCAUUAUACCCCUGCAUCCAGAACCCUAAAUCAGCCUUAACCUCUCCCUGUCUCUCCCGAUUGAUUGUUACUGAUAUAUAACAAACAAUAUUUAGUAAUAUAGAGCUACAACAGAGACCAUACAUAUAUAGGACUGCACACAUAUAUAUACAAGGAUUAAUAUUUUUAGCAUAAAUAUGCAUACAUAUAUCUCAACAAACUGCUUUUGUAAUGAUGUGUGGCCUGCAAUGAACCUAUGAAUUGUAUGGCUGAUGAAUUAAGAUAUUGGAUGGGAUGUGAUGAAUUGAGGCGCUUCUGCUAUGUAUCGCUUGUUAUUUCGAUUUGUGUGCAUGUUCAGUUUGCUGAGAUAUAUGUAUGCAUAUUUAUGCUGAAAAUAUUAAUCCUUAUAUAUAUAUAUAUAUAUAUAUAUAUAUAUGUGUGUAGUCCUAUAUAUGUAUGGUCUCUGUUGUAGCUCUAUAUUACUAAGUAUUGUUUGUUAUAUAUCAGUCAAAUGAAUUAUACAAUCAAUCGGGAGAGACAGGGAGAGGUUAAGGCUGAUUUAGGGUUCUGGAUGCAGGGGUAUAAUGGUCAUUUCACGUGCAAUUCCACGCUGGCAAGCCCAUGGGUGGUGUACAGUGCGAAAAGUGGCAAAAAAUUAGAAAAACUUCUCUCUCCAAUAGCAUAUUAUUAACUGCAAACCUAAGAGGGGCAUUUAUACAAUUGCCAAAUCUAAAAGUGGUAAAUAGUUAAAUUCCGCUUUGAUCCAGAGUAUAUAGAUUAUAGAUAGGACAACAUCCCAGCAAGCAGGGUAUAUUCGUACUUACCCUAAUUUUUUUGUCAACCGUCUAAGAACAGUAGCACGAUUAGCUUGCUUGAUCUCAAGUUGUACGACUAACAUGGGCAACAAAGGCUAAUUAAGCCUAGAUCGAUGGCAGUGUUUCAACUAGCAAGACCGACGCGAAUUAUUUAGAGGGAAAAAAAAGAAGGAUGAAAUUUCCCUAUUCCUUCCACUUAUGUAGAUGAAAUCAACAGCUUGCUAGCCAUUGACCAACGACUACUCCCCUAUCCUUUUCUUUGACAACGACUUCUCACUUUCCCAGCAAGCAGGGUUUAUAUGUACUCGCCCUAAUUGUUUUGUCAACCGAUGCAUGAUUAGCUUGAUCCCAUAUUGUAGGCUAACAUGGACAACAAGUAGUUAAUUAAGCUUAAAUCGAUGGCAGUACUGUUGCAACUUGCAAGACCGACGCUAGUUAUUUAAGGCUAUGCCCUGCAGAGGAUAAGAUUAGCAUCGUUUGUAUUAUUGUAUAUCGAUCUUUGGUGAAUUGGGCACUUCAUCGUCGACGUUGUUUAUCCAAGGCAUAUAUACGGCGUGUCACUGUUUUGUACCGUGAGAACUUUGGCAACAGUUAGAAGGUCGUUGUUUGUUGCUAGGACGCUAGAUGCAUGUCAUGCAAUUAAGCGCGGGAGAGAAUGAAUAUGAUUUUUUUUUUUAGAAACGGUACAAAACAUAGACAUUCACAACAUGUGUAUAAUUACCCCUAUAAACACACUCUACCCCUGUGACAUACACUAACUAAAAAAGAUAUCCGUGAAGGGCUAAAACUGAUUUUCCGGGUUUUUGCAUGCCGACGCUUAAAAUUUAACCAUUAGCAACGGGUGGAGAAAUCAUCUUUCAUCGGUCGGGCUAAUUCCACAAUAGUCCCGAUUACAACAAAAACCGGGACUAAAGAUGAUAUUUAGUCCCGGUUAAAAAGGGUAACGGGCAUAUUUGAUCUUUAGUCCCCGGGACUAAAGAUCAUCUUUUGUCCCGGUUGGUGUUACCAACCGGAACUAAAGAUCAUCUUUUGUCCCGGUUCAAAUGCUGUCAGGUCUUGGCAGCCCCCCCCCGGGGAUCUUUAGUCCCGGUUGGUAAGAUCGUAACUUUAGUCCCGGUUGGUGUUACCAACCGGGACUAAAGAUCCCGGCGAUCUUUAGCCCCGGUUCAUAACACCAACCGGGACUAAAGUCCCACCCCUAUAUAUAUAUAUAUAUAUAUGUCUUCUUCCUCCUCCAGCCCGAGUAAGCUUCAAAAUUUCUUCAAAAAAGGGGGAGGUCAUGCCAAAAUUUCUAGUGAAUUUAUUUUGGUGAUUAUAUACAAAUCGGAGGUGCCUAAAAGGUUAGCAACUUCAUCCUCCAAUGUUUUUUUUUUCAUAUUAAAUUUGGAGCUAUGUUUUGCACACUUUUUUGUCUCCAAAAUUUUGUUGUUAGUUGAUGAGAGAGAAUUUGUGUGGGGAAGAAAGAAUAUAUAGAAAUUUAGUUUAUUUGCUAAAGAAGGUUUUAUAAAAUAGUUGAGAAGGAAAAUAUAGUGAAAGUUAAUCUUGAAUAAUAGAAAACAAACUAAAAUGAAAAAUUAAAAUAAGUACAACACAUUAAUAUUAGUUUAAAACUUUAUAAAUAGUAAAUAUAUAAUUAUUUGGUGUAAUAUUUCAUAAUUUUUGUAUUAAUAAUGAUAUAUCAUUAUUGUGUGACUGUUGAAAGAGUUUGUAAUUAUUUUAUAAUUAUUGUAUGAUUGUCAUUAUUGUACGAAUAAUUAUUUGUGUACGAUUUUUUUUCAUGUCAUGUAGAUGGAUCGGCAAUGGAUGUACGCUGACCGGCGGUACAAAGAGUUUAUUGACGGCGUGCAUUAUUUUUUGAGAGUGGCCGGAGCUAAUAGGCAAAAGGGUUUUAUUUGUUGUCCAUGCAAUGUGUAAGAAUCAGAAGGAGUAUUCUGCAUCCAGGACUAUUCAUUUCCACUUGUUUGAGUCGGGGUUCAUACCAAGCUAUAAUUGUUGGACAUCUCACGGAGAGCAAGGUGUUGAAAUGGAAGAAGAUGAAGUGGAAGACGACAAUAUUCCGGACUUUGCUCAGUACGCUGGAUUUGAAGAAAAUCAAACGAGCGAGUAGGAAAGGGAUGCUGAUGGUAACAACGUUGCGGAUGAUGUUGGUCAGAUGUUGCAGGACGCCAAGGAGGAUUGCGAAAGUGAAAAGGAGGCCCAUAAAUUGGACAAGAUGUUAGAGGAUCACAGAACGUCGUUGUACCCAGGUUGUGAGCAGGGGCACAAAAAGUUGGAUACCACUCUGGAGUUCUUGCAAUGGAAGGCAAAAAAUGGUGUUAGUGACAAGGCAUUUGGCGAUUUAUUGAAACUCGUCAAGAACAAUCUUCCGGAGGGAAACAAAUUGCCCAAGACAACGUACGAGGAUAAGAAGAUAGUCUGCCCUCUAGGACUGGAAGUUCAGAAGAUUCACGCAUGUCCGAAUGAUUGUAUCCUAUAUCGCAGUGAGGAGUACGAGAACCUAGAAGCAUGCCCUAUUUGCAAAGCACUACGAUACAAGAUUAGACGAGAUGAUCCAGGAGAAGUUGACGGGCAGCUAACGAAGAAGAGAAUUCCUGCUAAGGUGAUGUGGUAUUUCCCUAUAAUACCACGGCUAAGGCGUUUGUUCAGGAACAAGGGGAAUGCUAGAAUGAUGCGAUGGCACACUGAAGAGCGUCAACAGGACGGGAUGCUGAGACACCCCGCCGAUGGUUCGCAGUGGCGAAACAUCGACAGAAAAUUUAAAGACUUUGGAAAGGAUGCACGAAACAUACGGUUUGUUUUAAGUACGGAUGGCAUGAAUCCUUUUGGAGAGAUGAGCAGCGGCCAUAGCACUUGGCCCGUUACGAUGUGUAUCUACAACCUCCCCCUGUGGCUAUGCAUGAAGAGGAAGUACAUAAUGAUGUCGAUUAUAAUUCAAGGCCCCAAGCAACCUGGUAACGACAUCGAUGUGUACCUAAGACCACUGGUCGAAGAUCUUAAACUAUUGUGGAAGAAGGAAGGUGUCCCCGUGUGGGAUGAGGACAAACAGGAGGAGUUUAACCUACGAGCGCUGCUGUUCGUAACCAUCAACGAUUGUCCUGCACUUAGCAACCUAUCCGGGCAGUCCAACAAGGGGUACAAGGCUUGCACUCACUGUAUGGAUGAAACAGAAAGUACGUAUCUUAAGCACUGUAGGAAAGUUGUCUACAUGGGUCAUCGUCGAUUCCUUGCAGCAAACCACCCGGUACGGAAGAAAGGCAAGCACUUUGAACAUAACGCGGACCACUGUACGAAGCCUAAACAUCGCAGCGGGAAAACAUUGUUUGCUAUGGUUAAAGAUCUUAAAGUAGUGUUUGGAAAGGGGCCUGGCAGCCAGCUUAUAUUGAGCGAAGAUGGUCACGUGGCGAUGUGGAAAAAGAACUCUAUAUUUUGGGAGUUACCCUAUUGGGAAUUCUUGGACGUCCACCACGCAAUCGACGUGAUGCACCUCACUAAAAAUCUUUGCGUAAACCUUCUUGGCUUCCUAGGUAUAUAUGGAAAGUCGAAAGAUACACUGGAAGCACGUAAUGAUCUGAAGCAUAUGGAACAACGCGGUGACCUUCACCCGGAACCAAAGGAGAAAGGAAGCCAUUACUUAAGUCCAGCCAGCUACACUCUUAGCAAGGCAGAGAAGGAAAGUAUGUUUGAAUGCUUGGAGAGCAUCAAGGUACCGUCUGGAUACUCCACGAAUAUAAAGCGAAUAAUAAGCACGAAGGAGAAGAAGUUCACAAAUCUAAAGUCUCAUGACUGUCACGUGUUGAUGACAUAGCUGCUACUAGUUGUAAUAAGGGGUAUCCUCCCAGACAAUGUCCGGGCAACAAUAACAAAGCUAUGUGCUUUCAUGAACACAAUUUCGCAGAAGGUCAUCGAUCCUGAUAGAUUAGAAGCCCUGCAGAAUGAUGUGGUGCAAUGUCUUGUCAGCUUUGAAUUGAUAUUUCCACCUUCAUUUUUCAAUAUAAUGACGCAUCUGCUUUGUCACCUUGUCAAAGAGAUCGGUAUUCUCGGUCCUGUGUACCUACACAACAUGUUUCCUUUCGAGAGGUACAUGGGCGUUCUGAAGAAGUAUGUUCGUAACCGUGCUCGUCCAGAGGCAAGCAUCGCCAAGGGGUAUGGAACAGAGGAGGUCAUUGAAUUCUGUGUAGAAUUUAUCGAAGACCUUCGCCCAAUCGGGGUACCUGAAUCACGCCAUGAAGGGAGACUACGGGGAAAGGGGACUCUCGGAAGGAAAGCAAUAAUGACGGUAGACAACAAUUUAUUCCGUAAAGCCCAUUUCACGGUUCUGCAACAAUCUUCAUUGGUGGCUCCCUACAUCGAGGAGCACUAGGCUCUAGUUCGCGCCAGAAACAUCGGUAAGUCCGAUGCAUGGAUUACAAGGCAUCACAUUGAUACUUUCUCCACGUGGCUGCGACAACAUCUCAUGGGUAACGAGACGAUUAACCAACAACUGGCCUUCCUGGUGAGGGGACCAUCUGGCUCGAUCGCGACAUUCCAGGGAUAUGAAAUCAAUGGGUACACAUUCUACACGAGGGCCCAAGACAUGAAGAGCACGAACCAGAAUAGUGCUGUUCGUAUCGAUGCCAUGGGACACGAUGGUACAACUGGCACAUAUUACGGUGCCAUCGAGGACAUAUGGAAACUUGACUAUGGACCUCUCAAGGUCCCUCUGUUCCGGUGCCAAUGGGUUAGGUUGACUGAUGGAGGCAUAACGAUUGAUGACAAUGGGAUGACAACGGUUGACUUUAACAAGGUUGGAUACUCGGACGAACCUUUUGUCCUUGCCAAUGAUGUUACCCAACUUUUUUACGUCAAGGACAUGUCUAGCAAAGGAAAAAAGGGCAAAGGGCCUGACGAGCCGAAGCGCCACGUGGUUCUCCUAGGAAAAAGAAAAAUCGUCGGAGUAGAGGACAAGACUGACGAGGAUUACGAUCAGUUUGAUGGGCAACCCUUUUCACGGUGACGAUUGACCCUAGCAUCCUCCUAUCAAAUGAAUACACCCCUUACUCACGUAACGAUCACAAGGAAGGAACAAUAGUGAGGAGAAAGUACGUGUGGUCAACCGUCACCGCUGAUGUAUUGCCGUAAUUGUUCUGUACACGAUGUAAACUAUGUUGGAUGUACUGAAUAUCCAUACAAAUCAAUUGUUGUAUGGCAUAUGUUAAUUAUGUAUGAUUAUUAGAAUUUUUAUCAAAUUGAAAUCAUCCAUAUGCUAGUUAUAUAUGAUUAUUAGAUUUUUUAUUAAUUAUGUAUGAUUAUUAGAAUUUUAAUCAAAUUGAAAUCAUCCAUAUGCUAGUUAUAUAUGAUUAUUAGAAAUUUUAAAGGUUUUAAAUCAUGCACGUGGUAUUUACAUAUGUUAAUUAGAAUUUUCAACAAUUUAAUAUCAUGAUAUACUAGUUAUAUAUGAUUAUUAGAUUUUUUAUUAAAAUCAUGCAUGUGGUAUUUACAUAUGUUAAUUAGAAUUUUUAACAAUUUAAUAUCAUGCAUAUGCUAAUUAUAUAUGAUUAUUAGAAUUUUUAGCAAUUUUAAAUCAUUCAUGUGCUUAUUAUAUAUUAUCCACGUAUUCUACUACAUACAACAAUAAUUUUUCGAAGGUUUUGUCAUUAAUUGUUCGACUUUAAAUAAUUGUAAUACAUUAUUUACUAUUUUAGAAACACAUAUGCAAUGAAAUUCAAGACACAAUUGCUAUUAUCUUUAGUCCCGGUUCCUAAACCUAACCGGGUUUAAAAAGAAUUUGGAAAUAGCGGGAAAAGAUCUUUACUCCCGGUUGGUGAGAACAAUCGGGAGUAAAAAUAUCUUUACUCCCGGUUCGUACGAACAACAGGGACUAAAGAUAUUUUUUUUUAGUCCCGGCUGUUGUUACGAACUGGGAGUAAAGAUAUUUUUACUCCCGGUUGUUGUCACCAAUCGGGACUAAAGAUCCGGGGGUAUAUAUAUUCCCGGUGCGCCCUCAUCUUCUCCACCAACACUUAGACGUUUUUCGAUCUCGGCUUCUCCUUCGCCGCCACCGUGCCUAGGGCAACCCCGCGCCGACACCGCCGUCGUCUCUCGCCGUCGCUUGACGGUCCUCGACGCCUCCGCCGUAGACGCCGCCGCUGCAUCUCUUGGGUGAGAGCCGCCGCUGCCUCUCUCUCUCUCGAUCUCGAUCUCGAUAUAUCUCUCUCUCCACGGCCGACGACCGACUUCGACGCGGCCGCCGCCGCCGACGACGUCGUCGCCUCUGCCACCCCGCCGCCCCCACCUCGAGCUCGCCACGCCGCCGAGCCCCCACGCCACCGCCGCGCCCGCACGCCGCCGGGCCGGCCCACGGCGCCCCGACGCCGCCGCCGCGCCACCAUGCCACUGCCGCGCGCGCCCAAUAUUGCCGAACGUGAACGAACGUGAUUGAAACGUGACCGAACGCGAACGAACGUGAACGAUACGUGGACGACCUUUGAACGAACGCUGAACGAACAUGAACGAAACGUUAACGAACGCGAACGAACGUAACGAAACGUUAACGAACGCGAACGAACGUGCACGAAACGUUAACGAACGCGAACGAGCGUGAACGAAACGUUAACGAACGUGAAUGAAAUGCUUACGAAUGCGAACGAGCGUGAACGAAACGAUUACGAAACACGAACGAACGUGCACGAAACGCCUACGAACGUGAAUGCACUUGUACUAAAAGUGUGAGAACGAACGCGUUUAUACUAAUACAUUUUACUGGUAAUACAUAUAUGAUUAUAUAUGUAACUUGGCCCGUUUAGACUAAUACAUUUUCCUGGUAAUGUUGCAGAGAAGACGUCGUCGGCGUCCCUCAAGCCGAAGUUGUAGCUAGCCAUCGAAGGAAUUCACGCAGGCAAGUGAUGUAAAGAAGUGAUUGUUAGAUAUUUAAUAUAAGAUUGUUAGACUUAGCAUAUAUGAUUAUUACAAUUUUAAUAUAAGAUUGUUAGCGAUUUAAUAUAAGUUUGUUAGACUUAGCAUAUAUGAUUGUUAGAGAUUUAAUAUAAGAUUGUUAGACUUAGCAUAUAUAUAUGAUUAUUACAAUUUUAAUAUAAGAUUAGUAGCGAUUUAAUAUGAGAUUAGUAGAGAUUUAAUAUAAGAUUAGUAGCGAUUUAAUAUAAGAUUGUUAUACUUAGCAUAUAUAUAUGAUUAUUACAAUUUUAAUAUGAGAUUAGUAGCGAUUUAAUAUAAAAUUGUUAGACUUAGCAUAUAUGAUUAUUACAAUUUUAAUAUAAGAUUAUUAGAGAUUUAAUAUAAGAUUGUUAGAGAUUUAAUAUAAGAUUGUUAGACUUAGCAUAUAUAUAUAUGAUUAUUACAAUUUUAAUAUGAGAUUAGUAGCCAUUUAAUAUAAGAUUAUUAGAAAUUUAAUAUAAGAUUAGCAGAGUUUUAAUAUUACGGUUAGCAAAUACAUCCUAUAUACCUAACAAAUAUUUUUUGUAUGCACAGAUGGCUGAUCGCGAUGAGGAACAGAUACUAUACGAUACAAUCGCAGAGGGAAGCAGCUAGUACUGGAACGAAGAAGAGGGGAACGAGGACCAAAACCAGUACUUGAACGAGGAGGGGAACGUGGAGAGGGAUGCGGAGGGGAACGAUGAGGAGGAGGCUAGUGGAAGUCAUCCCUCCGCUGGACAGAAGAGGGCACGCGGACAACGAGGUGCCGCGAAGAAGAUAGAGGGUCGGCACAUCAUAACUGAGGUGGACGAAGACGGCCGACCUAGUGCCCCGGCAGAAGCAGCCAAGAAUUUUGUACGCCACAGCGGUUGGGUUGUGAGGGACAACGUGCCUGUCAGCACGGUGUACUGGCGCAGAACAAGGGCACGCGGGGAUAAUGACAGCUUUGUCCCGGACUCAGAGAAAGAGAUGUUGUGGACCACAAUGCUCGAGACAUUCACGCUACCCGCAGGUACGGAGAACAUAGUGAAACAGUGGACUCUGAAGAAAAUGGCAGAAUAGUUCCAGAGCUUCAAGAGAGAUCUCUACAAGAAAUACAUCCUGAAGGGACUAACACCGAACUUCGACGUAUUCCCAAAGCUAAGGGAUCAUUGGGACGAGUUCGUUGCUUACAAGAUAGGGCAACAAGGGCAAGCGAUGAUGGCCAGAAACAAAGACAAUGCCACCAAGAAGAAGUACCAUCACCACUUGGGGUCAGGCGGAUAUAGCGUCGCAAUGCAUAAGUGGGAGGAGAUGGAGGCAAGUUUGAUCGAGAGGGGUAUCGAACCGGCCACCGCUAAAUGGCCGGAUCGAUCGAAGUUCUGGUACUAUGCUCACGGUGGAUAGCUUAACCCAGUUGAUGGCUCCCUUGUCUUCAGCGAUCAGAUACGCGAGGCUGCCAGUCGACUAACGGACGCAGUGGUAGCCUCUUCUCAGGGCACAUUCCUACCCGACAGAGAGAAGGAUGAGCUGUCACUCGCCCUACAGACUCCCGAGCAUCCAGGACGAACACGAGGGAAAGGCGUGAUUCCCUGGAAGAUUGGAUUUAAGGAGGACAUCCACACGUACAGGAGUCGGAUGAGGAGCAAGAGAGAUACCGAGGUGAAGAUUGCAGAUCUUGAGUACAGGGUAUCGAGCUACGAGCUCAGUAUGCAAGAGGAGGUGGCAAGGAAGGUGGAUGAACGUAUGGCCGCACAUCGGUCCCAGGAUCCCCAGCCGUACAUUCAUCCUGCAAUGGUCAGCCCAUCAGGAAAUCGUAGCAGCUGCGCCUCAAUGGGGCAGGUCGGAUCACAGAGCAUGGACGCCAUGCAAACCCAGGACGAAACCACCUGCCCCGUUGAUGAGAUCCUGCAGCGGACAUCAUGUGAGCUGCAUAUUCCCUUCAAGAACUUAUCAAUCAAGGUAUGCUCGUAGUUUGAUGAUUUUUGACUUGUACAUUCCGCAAGUUGCUGCUUAGGUUGAUUACUAAUAGAUAACCUCUCAUCACGUGAAGGUGGCGUCGAGAAUGACCAUCCCAACGGACCCUUCCGAGACUUACCACUACAGACCGAUUCCAGCAGGAUACUCGAGGGUCGAAGUUGAGCUGGUGGAAGCCGCGUACGAGGACCUCGAGUUGGACUACCCAGGAGGAGACGGUGAGACGCAUCUACGAGACACAAGCCACGCCAUCAUACUAUGGCGCAAGCGGUACAUCAUCCUUCCUGGGCAACAAGCGGCAUCUCGUGCACCAUCUCCUCCGGCUCCGCCAUCUCCUCCUGCACCAUCUCCUCCGGUUCCUCCGGCACGUCCUCCUGCACCAUCUCCUCCAGCUCCUCCGCCACCUCCUGCUGCACCAUCUCCUCCGGCUCCUCCGCCUCCACCAUGUCCGCCUGCACCUCCCAAGACAAGGUCUCGCCAAGCUCCGUCGCCUGCCCGCACAAGAGAAACGAAGAAGGCAAAAGUUGACGCCACCAAAAACAAGGAGCCACCGUACGAUUGCAGUCAAGAGGAGCUUGAUGCUUAUGUGGCAGGAGAGGUGAAGAGGCAACUCAAGCCUCGGAGUCCUGAAAAGAAGAUACCUAUUGACCCGAGCGUGAAGAACUUCUUCAAGGGAAUGUCCACAACAAACAAGGAGGCGUUACAGAUAUCAGACUAUGACCGAACACUUCAGAGAGCCUAUCACAAGAAGUCCAAACUAGUCCCUCAGCUUGGAGAACAACCAAACCAAGAGGUCGAGCCGUUGGUGACCGGCGAAGAUUUUGGCAUAACGGAAUUUAUUUCAGACACCGGUCUAACUGUGGAUCAGUUGGUUGGAGGCGCACCAAUCCCGAAGGCGGAAGUGGCAUACAAGUUUGAACUCAGUAAACCACUUGUCAAACCUGAAUAGUUGUAGUCCCUACCGACACAUAUGUACAAAUUCCAUGAAUGGUACAUGGAAAUGAGCGGCAAGGGUAGAGAGAUGUUCGGAGCGAGGAUCAGAAACCCCGACUUCUUGCAAGGAGAAGAUGUUCUCUGGAUCCAUUUCAAGGAUCUCUUCGAUCUGUACCAGCUGGACUGUCGCGACCGAGAAAAUUGCCUUUUCCCGAACGCUAGUGUAUUAAUCCCCGUCCCAGGAAAAGCCGGGGUACACCACACAAACAUGAUAUAAAAGACACAUCUUUAUUAUAUCGAUAAUAUUUACAUUAUUACAAAGGCACUUAAGGCCUGACAAUCAAAAAUAAACAGCAGCGGACUAGCGGGCCUACGGCUCCAUCUUCACAGGCGCUCAACUGGGGUAUAAGCCAAGACUCCACCUAAGACCUCUUCUCCAAAGCUUCUCUUACUGAAGGGGGGAAAGAUUGAGCAAGAAUGAGUACAACCACAGUACUCAGCAAGUCACACCGGCAGAUGCAUGAUUAAUGCAAGGGGGUACAAGAGGAUAAUAAUAGGGGUUAGGUUUUGCAGUAAACAGCAUUUAAACGUCACUUAGUUGCCCAAAGCCAUUUUAUAAAGACGAUCCUAGAGUUACACAGUGUUAUUAAUCAAGGCCGUGAACCCUCACGAACCUGCCUUAACCCAAGGCCUACGAUGAUUCAGACCGAACUGGCAACCCGACCCUGGGUCCCAGCUCGUCCCAAGCCAACUCAGGCCAACCAUUCCACAUUUUAGUUGUUGAGCAAAUUUUAAGAAUUAAAACACUAACUUGGGUACAUUGCUCGGCUUGCCCAUAACCGAGGGCGCGGCUAUUCGAAUAGAUUAUACUCUGAUCAGAGGUGUACAUCUUUACCCACAAGACACAUCUUCCUCACGUGUAACCACGUGCCACAUACCACCACGGUAUACAGACGGAAGACGUGACAUAGUUUCCAACCCAUCCUAGCCAUAGACAAGAGUACCGACCCAAUCCCACCUACGGCCGGAACCUCCGGGACAGGUAGGCAGGAUUGAGCCCCUAGCAGCAGGACACCAGCCCUGUGCCAUGACAUCUCGACUACCGGGCCGCAGCUCGUAUAGCCUUCAUUUGUCCUAGAGAUGUCCAUCGACCCCCGACUUCGUCCAUCUCUAAUCCGUGUACUUUUGUUUAUA
rnacentral:lncRNA from 1 species